AUUGAACGCUGGCGGCAGGCCUAACACAUGCAAGUCGAGCGGAUGAAGGGAGCUUGCUCCUGGAUUCAGCGGCGGACGGGUGAGUAAUGCCUAGGAAUCUGCCUGGUAGUGGGGGAUAACGUCCGGAAACGGGCGCUAAUACCGCAUACGUCCUGAGGGAGAAAGUGGGGGAUCUUCGGACCUCACGCUAUCAGAUGAGCCUAGGUCGGAUUAGCUAGUUGGUGGGGUAAAGGCCUACCAAGGCGACGAUCCGUAACUGGUCUGAGAGGAUGAUCAGUCACACUGGAACUGAGACACGGUCCAGACUCCUACGGGAGGCAGCAGUGGGGAAUAUUGGACAAUGGGCGAAAGCAUGAUCCAGCCAUGCCGCGUGUGUGAAGAGGGUCUUCGGAUUGUAAAGAACUUUAAGUUGGGAGGAAGGGCAGUAAGUUAAUACCUUGCUGUUUUGACGUUACCAACAGAAUAAGCACCGGCUAACUUCGUG
rnacentral:rRNA from 1 species